rnacentral:SRP_RNA from 1 species
GCCAGGUGUGGUGGCAUGCACCUGUAGUCCCAACUACUUGGGAGGCUGAGGCAGGAGGAUUGCUUGAAUUCAGAAGUUCUGAGCUGUACUGUGCUAUGCUUAUCAGGCAUCCACACUAAGUUCAGCAUCAAUAUAGUGACCUCCUGGGAACAGGGACCCACCAGGUAACCUAAGGAGGGCUGAACUGUCCCACGUCAGAAAUAAAGUGAAACUCCCAUGCUGAUCAGUAGUGGGAUCGUGCCUGUGAAUAGCCACUGCACUCCAGCGAGGGCAGCAGAGUGAGACCUCAUCUCU